UACGUAGGGGGCAAGCGUUGUCCGGAUUUAUUGGGCGUAAAGAGCGUGUAGGCGGCCGCACAGGUCCGUUGUGAAAACUGGAGGCUUAACCUUCAGACGUCGAUGGAAACCGUGCGGCUAGAGUCCGGAAGAGGAGAAUGGAAUUCCUGGUGUAGCGGUGAAAUGCGCAGAUAUCAGGAAGAACACCCGUGGCUAAGGCGGUUCUCUAGUACGGUACUGACGCUGAGACGCGACAGCGUGGGGAGCAAACAGG
rnacentral:rRNA from 1 species